GCAUUGCUGAAGAAUCACACAAUAGGACGAAACGGCCGUCCAGUGU
rnacentral:hammerhead_ribozyme from 1 species